CGACUUACCAGUAGCGGGACAAAUUACAACUCUGAGUCUUGAUUUCCUUAUUUGCAAAUGGGGUAAUUAUAGUUACCUUGCAGGGAUGCUGUGAGGUUGAAAUGAGAGAACACAUGUGAAGGACUUAUUCCCGUGCCAGCUGGUUGGACAAGCAACUGAAGGACAGGAACAGAAGUGAAUGAAAACAGAAGACGCUGUGUUUGUGUUUUCUCUUGGUUAGAAUGCUGUGAGUCAGGACCUCAGUUGCUGGGUAUCCUGCGACUGCCUUCGGAAAUUGAUUGCCUCUUCAUUUCACAACACAUCACAUGGAUCCUCUACACUGGUGGACCGGGAAAUCACAACUACUUUAGACACCUUGUUCUUGGCUCUUUGCUGGGUCCUGGUAUUUGACCAUGGACCAUUAAGUUAUCGUGUGACCAGAAAUGCCCCCUAUGAAGUGAAUAUUGCUUAACCACCACCACGUUCUAUUGGUUAUAAUCAAGUCACAGAGCCAGUCCAGAUCAAGGGGAAGGAAUUAUGCAAAAUUCCGAAUACUGAGAGACGUAGUUCAUUGGAAGACCACCUUUGGAAACCAGCAGCUAUCACAGUUGCCUUGGAUAUUUUCUGAACAGAGAGAUUCUUACAUUAAUAACUGUUCUCUUUGCCAAUAAAUAUUUAUGAAGAACCCACAGUAUGUGCAGAACCUGAACAUAAGCAGAAGAAACAGGGAAAGCAUUGCACCUUCCUCAAAGUUUGUGCAUUCUACCAUGAAAUAUUCACAUUAACACUGAAGCUAAGAGUAGGCUGGAAAUCCCAGAAGUGAGAAUUAAUGUACUGGUACUGAUGGUCAAUGUGUGUAUUAUAGCUCUCUGUGGUGAAAUAAAUAGAUUGAUAAUGGGCUUCUGUAUAUAGUUGUAUCAACAAUAAAAUGAUGGAAUGCUUUCUAGCUCAAGAUUUUUACAACCCAAUGAUCUUUAAUCUGGUAACUCAUUCCUCAUAAGACUCAUUCCU